GACGAACGCUGGCGGCGUGCUUAACACAUGCAAGUCGAGCGGAAAGGCCCCUUCGGGGGUACUCGAGCGGCGAACGGGUGAGUAACACGUGAGUAAUCUGCCCUGCGCUUCGGGAUAGCCACUCGAAAGGGUGAUUAAUACCGGAUAUGACUCAUCUCCGCAUGGGGUGUGAGUGGAAAGUUUUUUCGGCGCAGGAUGUGCUCGCGGCCUAUCAGCUUGUUGGUGGGGUAAUGGCCUACCAAGGCUUCGACGGGUAGCCGGCCUGAGAGGGUGACCGGCCACACUGGGACUGAGACACGGCCCAGACUCCUACGGGAGGCAGCAGUGGGGAAUAUUGGACAAUGGGCGGAAGCCUGAUCCAGCAACGCCGCGUGAGGGAUGACGGCCUUCGGGUUGUAAACCUCUUUCAGCACAGACGAAGCGCAAGUGACGGUAUGUGCAGAAGAAGGACCGGCCAACUACGUGCCAGCAGCCGCGGUAAUACGUAGGGUCCGAGCGUUGUCCGGAAUUAUUGGGCGUAAAGGGCUCGUAGGCGGUUUGUCGCGUCGGGAGUGAAAACCAGGUGCUUAACACCUGGCCUGCUUUCGAUACGGGCAGACUUGAGGCAUGCAGGGGAGAACGGAAUUCCUGGUGUAGCGGUGAAAUGCGCAGAUAUCAGGAGGAACACCGGUGGCGAAGGCGGUUCUCUGGGCAUGUUCUGACGCUGAGGAGCGAAAGUGUGGGGAGCGAACAGGAUUAGAUACCCUGGUAGUCCACACCGUAAACGUUGGGCGCUAGGUGUGGAUCCAUUC
rnacentral:rRNA from 1 species